GAAAAGGGUGGGAUGAGCCCAGGAAGCCAGCAUGAACUGUCUCAAGCUGUUUAGGCAUGAGCCACCGUGCCCGGCCCAGAUGUGUUUUAGAAAAAUAGAUAUUCACAGCAGGAUAAAGAAGAGGUGGCAACAAGAGAGACCAGCAAGGAGAUAAACUGGGAAGUUAUUGUAAAAAGUUCAGACAUGAGAAAGGUACUGGGGGCCAGCCACAGGGAUUGGCUCCUGCUUCUGGGAGGUGCCUCUAGACUCCUGGAGGGAAGGCCAGGGGCUGCCUGAGACUUUCGGUAACAGCCUCAGAGUGGUCGAGGAUUCGACCCAAGUUCCACUACCUUUCAUUAGGGAUGUUUUGUAAACUGUCAAGUGCUGUACAAAUGUCCAUUUGUUUCUCUUUUCUCCUUAAUGAACUUCAGAGACCAGAACAGAAAAUCCUGCUGCCACAAAUACCAGAAAUGCUCGAUAAAGAAAACAAAUUUCCUUUUAGACACAUAGCAAAGCUCAUCAGGCUGGGAGUAGUGGCUCAUGCCUGGAAUCCCAGCACUUUGGG
rnacentral:lncRNA from 1 species